GGUGAGAUGGCCGAGCGGUCUAAGGCGCUAGCUUCAGGUGCUAGUCAUGAAAAUGGCGUGGGUUCGAAUCCCACUCUCAUCA